CAUACGACUCUCGGCAACGGAUAUCUCGGCUCUCGCAUCGAUGAAGAACGUAGCGAAAUGCGAUACUUGGUGUGAAUUGCAGAAUCCCGUGAACCAUCGAGUCUUUGAACGCAAGUUGCGCCCGAGGCCUUUCGGCYGAGGGCACGCCUGCCUGGGCGUCACGC
rnacentral:rRNA from 1 species